UACGGAGGGUGCAAGCGUUAUCCGGAUUCACUGGGUUUAAAGGGUGCGUAGGUGGGCAGGUAAGUCAGUGGUGAAAUCUCCGAGCUUAACUCGGAAACUGCCGUUGAUACUAUUUGUCUUGAAUAUUGUGGAGGUAAGCGGAAUAUGUCAUGUAGCGGUGAAAUGCUUAGAUAUGACAUAGAACACCAAUUGCGAAGGCAGCUUACUACAGGAAUAUUGACACUGAUGCACGAAAGCGUGGGGAUCAAACAGG
rnacentral:rRNA from 1 species